AAACAUAGUUGUCUUAAUGAAUAGUAAAGCCAACUCAUUUAUUUGAUUAAUCAAAAUCUUUUUUUUUUAUUUUGUAAUCAAAGUUCAAGCACCUUACAAUAGAAAGUCUUUGAUUUUUUAUUUUGUAAUCAAAGUCUUAGAGUUUAAGAUUUAUUUUUCUUAAAUCUAAAA
rnacentral:sRNA from 1 species